GUGCAGUGGUUUGGAAGAAAUUGAUCUGUGGGAAGAGGUUCAUAUACCACAUGAAACAUAGUUUUGAGGAAAACCCUUUUUCUGCUCCACAUUUACCUGCAUGAAGAGAGGACUGACAUUAGAUCAACCUUCCAUCAACUUGGUUAUGGCUGGAGCCUCCAGAUCCCACUGAAUUUAGAAGAUUCCCCUUUAAUCUAGAGUGAUGUGACAACAGCUGCAGGAUAUCGGCACACAGGAAGUCUCCCAGCAUGACUAUAAGAACAAAUCGUGACUCAGUGAGAGACUGCAUGGAACCCUCUAGGGAAAAAAAACAACCAAAGAAAAGAAAUUAAAUAAAGAAAAUAAAUCACAAGAGAUUAAUCUCUCAACCAUACACAAUGACUGCACUACAGCCACACAGGUUAUUCUGUUACCUUCAUGAACUGUGCUUUAACUCUGAGGACUUAGCUGUGCUUUUAGGAAGCCUCAUGUAGUACAAGCACACAGAAACCCUAAAGUUCUCAUCCUAUCUGCAACGGGGCAAAGCGUGAAUGCAUGGCCAUGCAACAAAAUCCAGUACAAUGAAAACUGAACUACUGCAUUUUUAUUAACCAUAAGCUAUCACUGCAAUGCUGAGCCUUUUAGUAAUGACAACGACAAAAAAAGGUUAAACAUCAACCACUGAUUCACAGGCAACCAGAGACUGAGGAGUGUGCGAAACAGAGCAGUCCUCACAAACAAGAGCCACUUAAGAAUCCACAAACUGCAUCUUUGGCUUCUAUAGAGAAAAGAUUCACUGCAAAUCCAUUUUGUUGCUUAUUUAGCAUUAAUUAUUUGCAACCUUUAGAAAUUACUUUAAAGCAGCUCUUCGGUUGUUGAUUUCUUCCUGUCACGCCUGCUUUCACACUGACACUCGGCACAGCACGACUGGAAGAGAGCUGCUGCUCCCAAGUGGAGUUUGAUAGGUGCUGCGCGUUGUGUUCUGCCAGUGUCCCGAUACAACAUUCAAUAGCAAAUCCUCCUCCUCUGUACUGUCAUUGCCAGGACA